UUCGCCAGUUCAAACGUGUUUUACUGUUUCGGAAGUGAUUCUCUCCGCGUUGGUUGCCGGUCGUUGUUUUGGUUUCCAGUCGCGCUUCUAUUCGGAGGGGGGAAAGGAAGCUUGUUUGCAAAGUGCAAUGACACACCUAGCUACGGAACAACGAUGGGCGCGCUGCACCAUUCCACCGGUGGAUAAUCCGUUUCCGUUUGGCUAUUGCUGAAGAAGAUUGCCUGGAGGCUCACAGGAAGUGAUUGCCACUGUGGGUGGCGAUAUCUAAGGAAUUUUGUGUGAUCGAUGGAAAUUUUCACCCAAACGGAAAUUUCUGUAACAGAUAAGUGUUACUGUGCAGCAAAGAUGAAGCAAUUCGAUCCGCUUGAUUUAUCGGUGAAUUAAAAGUGCAUCGAGCGCAUCUCCAAUGAGGAAGUGCGCCCCGUGAUUUCAAACACAUUGCAGUGAAGAGUCGUAUUACAAUAUGAGGAAUCCUGCGGCGAAAUAGCAUCACGCUUCUGUAGUCAACGAUCGUCCGUCGCCCAAAAGUGGAAGAUAAAAGUGGAGCAGGAAUUUCGACGCACGCCAUCGAUCCCGUACAUCUCAGUCAGGGGCAAUUUGAAACGGCACAUCGAACGCAACGAUGCGAUGCCAGACACCGAUGUGU